GGGAGAGUGAGAAAGAGUGAUACCGACGGAGCAAAAAAAGAUACAGAGUUAACAUAGGAGGUGCAGGAUGAGUGCAUGACUGGCAAUGAGUAACAUGAAUAAUAUACACUCAGAAAGAAUUAGACCGAGAGAGAAAAAGGAGGAGAGAAAUGGUGUUUUUGGACUGUUUAUAAUAAAAUCAUCACGGAGAUCCGUAAUGGAUAAUUUUUGUUUCGAAAUUUUACUUGUUUUAUUUAAUUCUAUUUGAAGUUAAUAAAAUAUAUUUUUUGAAAA